AUGGCCAGAGAAGGAAUAGGAAUCAUCAUGGCUUUCCUGCUGACCCAUGUGUGUGUUGUGGAAACUCUUGAUUUUUCAGGAACAAGUACGGAUUUACAGUUUAGCUACACAGAUGAGUCGGCGCAUCCUAUAAGACGACGAUGUGCAGAUCUAGUGGAAUACAUUAUGGUUGUUGAAGUGAAUGCAUCCGAAACUGCAGAGAUCAGCAAAAUCAGAUCUUUUGUGAACUCUGUCAUACUUCCAUUUCAAGUGGAUGAUGGUGUUGAAAUUACAACUUUCAACAUUCAACAGGUGAGACUGUCAAAGCAUCAUCAUUCAUUGGCUAAAGAUCCUUCUGAUGUCUGUAAAUUUACAAUUAAUCUACAAGUAGUGACACUACUGCAGUGAUAAAAAAAAAACAACUAAUUAUUCCACCCUUCCUCUGUUUUUCAGUGUGUUCUUUGAAUGAAACACAGUAUCAGUGUAAAUGUGAGGGUCUGUUUGUUUGGCCGAAUGACACGUGCCACUCAUACGAGGCCUGUGAUGACAUCACUGAUGGUUCAUGUACAUGUAUCAAUGCCCUUCCAAUCGACGGACAGUUGUGCCAAGGUGAAACAAAUACAAAGUUGUGCAAUCACAAUAUUUCCUAUUUAUAAUAGCCUGGCUAUUAAAAAUAGGAAACGUUUUAACACUAUAAGAAUGUUCUGUAAUUGUUCUGCUCAAACCUUUACUGUUUGUUCUUGCAGAGCCACUUUCUGAGUUUAUGUAUGAGUAUGAGGCUGAAAUUGAUAUUGGUUUUUUGGACUUGUUCCCGGUGGACUACUUGCGCAAUCUCGUCACAAACACCAGCCUGCCUUUGACUUCUGAACAACAACACACACAUCACAGAUAUUGACAUGACUACCGGUAAGAAUCUAAUAUUUCAUUCAUGUCAGGUGAAAAUAAAACAUUUUCUAAAGAAAUGUAAUUACACGACGGCUCCCGGGAAUAUUUGAGUUUAACUGGUUAGUCGCAGCAUAGCAAUAUGAUUGUCCUCCAUAGCAACGCACUGGCGCUACUCCGCGGUCUCAUGUCUUUCAGAACUGAAGUCUGAAUUGUGCACCAUCUUGCGACUCAACAUGACUUCUGACUUUGAUUAACAAAAAAAAAAAAAAGCUCAGUUUACCAAGUAGAUUUGGAGAACUCCAGGCUGCAGUUACACCCUUCUCAAUUUAUGGAGGAAGCGCAAACCUUUUGAUAAAUGACUGGAAUUAAAGGAAGAAAAUGCGUAUCGCUUGGAGGAACAACAAGCUGGCAAGAUAAGCUGGAUAAGAAAUAACUUAAAAUAGACAGAAAGACGGAACGUUGUUAAUUUUUUAGCGGAAGAUUUAAGAUUAAAAUUAGACUUUUAGUAGAUGCUUGUUUAGCAGGCAUCAUUACAAAAAAAAGGCUUCCUUCAGAGUGAUUCAAGAUUCUAAAAAGAAAACUGUCUGGGUUUAUUUUGGAAUAUGUCAAAUAUUAAGUUUAACCAAUAAUAUAAACUGAUCAGUCUU
rnacentral:lncRNA from 1 species